CAGUCGCCGCGGUAAUACGAAGGGGGCUAGCGUUGCUCGGAAUGACUGGGCGUAAAGGGCGCGUAGGCGGAUUGUUUAGUUAGGCGUGAAAUUCCUGGGCUUAACCUGGGGACUGCGCUUAAUACAGGCAGUCUAGAGUGAGGAAGAGGGUUGUGGAAUUCCCAGUGUAGAGGUGAAAUUCGUAGAUAUUGGGAAGAACACCGGUGGCGAAGGCGGCAACCUGGUCCUUGACUGACGCUGAGGCGCGAAAGCGUGGGGAGCAAACAGGAUUAGAUACCCCCGUAGUCCCUGUCUCUUAUAU
rnacentral:rRNA from 1 species